rnacentral:rRNA from 1 species
GUGCCAGCAGCCGCGGUAAUACCGGCAGCCCAAGUGAUGGCCGAUCUUAUUGGGCCUAAAGCGUCCGUAGCUGGCCACGCAAGUCCAUCGGGAAAUCCACCCGCCCAACGGGUGGGCGUCCGGUGGAAACUGUGCGGCUUGGGACCGGAAGGCGCGACGGGUACGUCCGGGGUAGGAGUGAAAUCCCGUAAUCCUGGACGGACCGCCGAUGGCGAAAGCACGUCGCGAGGACGGAUCCGACAGUGAGGGACGAAAGCCAGGGUCUCGAACCGGAUUAGAAACCCCAGUAGUCC